UUCAACUUGUUUGAUGUCCCACGGUGGGCUGCACCGCUGGAGUUGUGCUCUGCACAUGCAAACUGUGCCUCGAGUGUGGCAGCUCCAGCUCCCAGGCUGUGUGCAGCAAGCUGCAGGUCCCUGCUCUGCAGCCUGAUGGCUCGGUCGUGUUCGCUGACAGCAAAAGCAGCUCUUCAUCACCAAGUGGCCAAGUCACAGAGCAGGAAGUACAGCAGAGCCAUUUUAUCACACAGGUGACAUUUGCAAGUCUUCUGCACACUAAGGCAUAACUUAAAUGUGUGAGCUGCUGUUUUCCAGCAAGGGAGGAUGGUCAGGAACAUGUCUGUCUCCUCAGUCACUACAAGAAGCACUGAUAAUGUAUUUUCCAGUUUGCCAGGCAAACAAGUACCAGGCACCAGUAUCAAAACCAGCCCAGAUUCCAACGAAAACCAGCAAAGAAAUAUCAGAGUAGAAACGAAACCACCUCAUUUUGCUUGACAAAUGUGUGCUCCACCCUGUCCGAUUCCUUCAGUUUGCCUGGAAGGACUCUCCCUUCUUGCCCUGUGGGCUGGACUCCCGUUUCCCUCC